ACCAAAAACAAAACAUUUUUUAAGGUGGGC
rnacentral:piRNA from 1 species